rnacentral:lncRNA from 1 species
UUACACUGUGAACAAGCAAAUGGUGAGAGGUGAGGAUCGCUUCGGGAUUUCCUCUCCCAUUCCCUCCAAGAUCCGCUGGCCCCAACUGGCCCCAUGUGGAAAUUGAUCCCUUUACAGCAAGUACAGGAUUGCACAGCUGGGGCCAAGGAAUGCCCAGUACUGCCAGGACCACUGGAUGGCAGAAGACUUCACCUAGCCUCUGGCGGUUCAACGGGCCAGGGUGGCAUCACUUAAAGAGUGUCUGAUGGGCACCACCUACAGGCUAUUGGAGAAGAGCAUGCACCUGAAGCCCAGCUUCACCACUACUGAGAUGCAACCUCAGACAUGAAAAAAAAGAAAGAACCUCGUGUGUCUGGCCUCCAGACAUGAUCCAGGAGGGAGUUAAAAAUUGCUCAGGCUGGAGAAGGAGGCCUGCUGGAGGGACGUCCUCAAGCAGCGAAGAAAAAGUGGGAUCUGGAGCCAGGACGGGCACUGGCUACACCAGGAGGACGAA